GAUGAACGCUAGCGGCAGGCUUACUACAUGCAAGUCGAGGGACAGCACAGGUAGCAAUACUGGGUGGUAACCGGCAAACGGGUGCGGAACACGUACACAACCUUCCUUUAAGUGGGGGAUAGCCCAGAGAAAUUUGGAUUAAUACCCCGUAAUAUAGUUGAAUGUCAUCAUUUGAUUAUUAUAGCUACGGCGCUUAAUGAUGGGUGUGCGGCUGAUUAGAUAGUUGGCGGGGUAACGGCCCACAAAGUCUACGAUCAGUAGCUGAUGUGAGGGCAUGAUCAGCCACACGGGCACUGAGACACGGGCCCGACUCCUACGGGAGGCAGCAGUAAGGAAUAUUGGUCAAUGGACGCAAGUCUGAACCAGCCAUGCCGCGUGAAGGAUUAAGGUCCUCUGGAUUGUAAACCUCUUUUAUUUGGGACGAAAAAGGGCCUUUCUAGGUCAACUGACGGUACCAGAUGAAUAAGCACCGGCUAACUCCGUGCCAGCAGCCGCCGUAACAC
rnacentral:rRNA from 1 species